rnacentral:rRNA from 1 species
GACGAACGCUGGCGGCGUGCCUAAUACAUGCAAGUCGAACGCAGUGGGGACGGGUGAGUAACACGUGGGUAACCUCCCAUCAGAGGGGAUAACACUUGGAAACAGGUGCUAAACCGAUACUGAUGGAUGGACCCGCGGUGCAUUAGCUAGUUGGUGAGGUAACGGCUCACCACGGCCACGAUGCAUAGCCGACCGGGGACGUGGAUCGGCCCGAGUGGGAGUGAGACACGGCCAAGACGCAGACGGUGUGCACAAGUAGUGAAUCUUCGGAAAUGGACGAAAGUCUGACGGAGAAACGGCGGGGUAGUGAAUAAGGUUUUCGGAGGUAAAAACUUUGUUGUUAGAGAAACGGUAUCUAACCAGAAAGCCACGGCUAACUACGUGCCAGCCGCCGCGGUAAUAC